GGGGUCGGGCUGCAUAAUGAGGACUGGGGGUUUUUUGGAUGCCCCCUUCCGGCUCCGCGAGACGGCGGGACCUUGGCGGUCCCCCGAGCGAGCGCGACGCUAAUCGAGGGCUGCUCGGCUCGAGAGGCCGGGGCCCGCCGCCCAGCAGAGUUGUGUUUUUCCUGAUCGGGGCUCGGGCCGCCCCUCCUCCGGGACCCUCCCCUCGGGAACCGUCGCCCGCGGCGGUUAGUUAGGACUGGAUUGCUUGGCGCG
rnacentral:sRNA from 1 species